AAAAUAAUCCUUUCUAUAACUGAGAAAACUCAUGCUUGUUUAAUGUUAUUUUAACUUGGGUUAUAAUUUUACUCAUAUUUUGGAUGCUGUAAGAAUCCAAGAGUAGUUAACAAUUGUGGUCUAUAUUUAGAUGAAUAUUGAGUCCUUGCUAUAACUCUGUUCUUGAAGUUGGAGCUGAAGAACCUUGUUAAAUGAUAUGGCAUUUCAGUGCUUUUAUUGUUUAGCUUCCUGGGAGCAGGUCCAAGGCCAUUCUGCUUUAUACCAAAUUCUUUAUUGUAGCAAGAAGAGGGAUUAUAAGUCUCUCGUUGAGUGAACUGAUAAAAUUAUUUGGAUGUCUUUUGUCGUAUUGUACUACUUUCCCAAAUCAUUGUUGUGCUUUCGAUUUUCACUGUAGAUAAUCCUCCAAAAGGAGCUUUGAAGAAACUGAUACAUGCUGCUAAGUUAAAUGCUUGUUUAAAAACCUUAGAAGGAGAAAGAAACCAAAUAUAUAUUCAGUUAUCUGAAGUUGAUAAGACAAAGGAAGAGCUUACAGAGCAUAUUAAAAAUCUUCAGACUGAACAAGCAUCUUUGCAGUCAGAAAAUACACAUUUUGAAAGUGAGAAUCAGAAGCUUCAACAGAAACUUAAAGUAAUGACUGAAUUAUAUCAAGAAAAUGAAAUGAAACUCCACAGGUAAUAAAAAUCAUGUUAACUUCAUUGAACAGCAAGUAAGAUAGCUUCAGAGAUAUAUGUUACAUAUUUAACUGUAGCAAUUAUUGAAAGUUCUCAAUUUAUGAUUGGAUUAUAUUUUAUCAAAUUAUUUUUAAGAAAGGUAUUUGAUCUGGAAACACUUUUUUUCAACAAACAAAAUAUUGUAAAUGAUGUUGGAAUUUCCAAGUUAGUCACAGAAUCCUCUUUAGCUUCUAAUAAGUAGUCAGCAAAUUACUACCUUAAAAUUCCUUAUACUGGCAGGGAAUCUGAGUGGACAGACACCCUUGAUUGAACUGCCCAUUAAUUCCAUCUCUGAUACAUGUAAAACUGAUUUCUCUGUUCUGUGCAACUUGCUCCUACCCAGGUGUUCCUUGUCUUAGUAAGUGGUAUUGUCAUUUACUUAGUUGCUCAGGGUGGCUCCUCAAGCCAUUUUUGACUUCUCUCUUUUCUAUCUCCUAUUUAUUCUGUCAUCAAAUCCUGUCAGCUUUCUUAUAGCCUGAAUCUGACCACUUUUCACCAUCUCCCAUACUGGUCUAGUCCAAGCCAUCAGCAGUUAAUAUCUGGUUUAUUAUAGUAGCCUUAUAAGUAGUCUCCCUCUUUACACCUUUUCUCCUGUACUAUGUUUUCUCUGCAACAUGCAAGAUGACCCUUAAAAUGUGAAUUGUGAGUAUGGUCACUCUCUGCUCAAAAUCCCUACGUGCCUUCCUAUCACUCUCAGAACUUAACCCAUAGCUUUUAUAUCUUAGCCUACAAGACUGUACCGCCUUGGACCCUUGGCCACUUCUUUAAUUUUAGCUUAUUUGUGUUCUUUUUCCUCUCAGUACCCUCCAUCCAACACUGGCCUUUUUGGUGAUCUUUAGCACGUUGACCUCAGGGUCUUUUGCACUUGCUCCUUUUACCUGGAAUGAUGUUUCCUUAUACAUUUGCAUGGCUCAGUUUUUCAUUUUAUUUGGUUCUGGGUUCAAUUGUUGCCUCAAAGAAUCCUUCCCUGUCUACUCUAACUAAAAUAAUAACUGCUACUCUUUAUCCCCCUAUUUUGCCUUGUAGCUCUUAUUGUCCUCUGGUGAUUGAUUGCUUUUAUUUCUUUUAUCUUCCUUUCGUUAAAUAUAAGCUGUGAGAGAGAAUUACUUUAUUUUCUUCACUUCUGUGUUCCCAGUGCCUAAACCUGUGUGAGACACAUGAUAGCUGUUCAGCACAUGUUUGUUGAAUAUAUGGACAAAUAUGUUCAGUGCCUUUAUAUAUUGAAGGAGUGUGUAUGUGUGUAUGCUGUUACCUAAAUGUCUAAAUACACAGAAGACCCUUGAGAUAUCUGAAGGCUUCAGAUUUUUAAAUAUUACCGAAGCACAUAUUUUUGUCAUCAUAAAGGGUAAUAAAAUGUAACAGACUUUCAGGUUCCUUUAGGCUCUUAAUGAAAGUUAUUAUAGUUGUUCUUUAUUAAUUACAGAAUCUGUAUUUGUGAAUUCACUUACUUGCCAAAAUAUAUCUGUAAAUCAGAUCAAUACAUGCAAAGCUUUUGCAGCCAUUCAUGGACAUAUUCAGAAUGAUGAAAAAUUUGAGUUGUCCAAUGUGCAUGUUGGCAGCUGAGGUUAAACAAGGUGAUGCUCUGCUUUGUUUCAGCUCUCAUUCUGUAAAGUGUCCUUUUUACGGUAUAUUUAGUACCUCAUUUUUUAUAUUUUUAUGCUUUUUGCUGGUGAUUUAGGUGUUUAAAAUGUACCCUAAGCAUACUGCUCAACUGUUAUGUAGUGUUUGAAGCACAAGAAGGUUGUGAUGUGUGUUACGGAGAAAAUACGUGUGUUAGAUAAACUUUGUUUAGGCAUGAAUUACAGUGCUUUUGGCUGUGAGUUCAAUGUUAAUAAAUUAACAAUAUAUAUAUUAAAUAAGAUACCUUUAAACAGAAGCACACUAAGACAAGGUUAUGUAUUGAUUAGUAGAUAAAAUUGUUGUGACCAGAGGCUAGCAGGAAGCUAAUUCUUUUUGAUUACCCUUAGGAGCAGUGAUCUGGUAUUUGCUAAUUCAUGAUGUGUAGUGACUUUAUGGAAUAUAACUAGCACAAAUAAUGAGAAUCUACUUGAUAUAUUUGGAAACUGGUAGAGAAUACUAAUGCUUCUUUGAGAUCAGGAUGCUGGGUAGUGCUUGGCUCAGUCACUGCUAAGUUCUAUAUCUCAGUCAUGAUUUGCAUUUCAGUUCACAAUUAAAAAGUUGUUAUUUGUUAUGGACCUUUGGCCAUUUCGGACUGCUCAGGGUAUGAAAGAGAAUAAACUUGACUAAAAGAAAGAGUUGCAGUAUAACUUUAGGGCUUUUGAGCCAGUAUACCUAGGAGUGGGCCCUUCUUUUUAGGUUAGAAUGAAACAUAUUAAAUUAAAACUUGGAUAUAAAAGUGAUUGUUUGAGGUGAAAGCAAUACUUUUGUGUAUAUCUUUUGAAUAAAAAAGGUAUAUGGUUGAUUACAGAAUUUCGAUGAGCAGUGUUUCAGAAAAAAAAAAAGACAUUUUCCUUAGAUUUUUAAGGCAAGGAUAGGAAGCUGAGUAGUGUCCUACUUGUGUGUGUUGUUCACAUGAUUUCAUUUGUUUGAAAUAUUUUAAAUUCCUAAAAUAUGUAUUUGCUUCUUACAUUUAAAUUAAACUACUUGCUACUGAAAUUCAGUGAAUUAUGCCUUUGGUACUUCUUCAGAGUAGAAUAUUGAAUUGAUAGUACCCAUAAAUUUAUAUUCUUGCUGCAUAUAGAAUAAGUUCAGUCUAGAUGUUGGCUUGAUGUUUUUCUUGACUGAUACAUUGUUUUACUACCAUUUUUCCAAAUUUAAUAAUGGAAAGAAAUGAAAUGGUAGGACUUAGAAGCUUGAUGUGUUACUUUUUUUUUUUUUUUGAGACAGAGU